rnacentral:rRNA from 1 species
CCUACGGGUGGCAGCAGUGGGGGAUAUUGCACAAUGGGGGAAACCCUGAUGCAGCGACGCCGCGUGUGGGAAGACGGUCCUCUGGAUUGUAAACCACUUUUCCCAGGGACGAAGAUGACGGUACCUGGGGUGGAAGCUCCGGCUAACUACGUGCCAGCAGCCGCGGUAAUACGUAGGGAGCGCGCGUUUUCCGGAAUUACUGGGUGUAAAGGGAGCGUAGGCGGGUAUGCAAGUUGGGUGGCAAAACUACCGGUGAAACUGGUAGUCGCACGCCAAAAUGCAGCUCUUGCGUGAAGUAGAGGCAGGCGGAAUUCCUAGUGUAGCGGUGAAAUGCGUAGAUAGUAGGAGGAACACCAGUGGCGAAGGCGGCCUGCUGGGCUUUUACUGACGCUGAGGCUCGAAAGUGUGGGGAGCAAACAGGAUUAGAUACCCGGGUAGUG